rnacentral:rRNA from 1 species
ACGGUAAGGCUUGUCACUCUUCGGAGUGACUCGCACACGAGUGGCGCACGGGUGAGUAACGCGUGGGUAAUCUGCCUUCGGGUUUGGGACAACUCCGGGAAACUGGAGCUAAUACCAAAUAAGACCACGAGGUCCUUGGGCCUUGUGGAAAAAGGUGGCCUCUUCUUGAAAGCUAUCGCCUGUAGAUGAGCCCGCGUCCCAUUAGCUUGUUGGUGAGGUAAAAGCUCACCAAGGCAUCGAUGGGUAGCUGGUCUGAGAGGAUGAUCAGCCACACUGGAACUGAGACACGGUCCAGACUCCUACGGGAGGCAGCAGUCGGGAAUCUUGCACAAUGGGCGAAAGCCUGAUGCAGCAACGCCGCGUGAGGGAUGAAGGCCCUCGGGUCGUAAACCUCUGUCGGAAGGGAAGAAAGUAUUCCGGGCCAAUACCCCGGAGUAUCGACGGUACCUUCAAAGGAAGCGCCGGCUAACUCCGUGCCAGCAGCCGCGGUAAUACGGAGGGCGCGAGCGUUAUUCGGAAUCAUUGGGCGUAAAGCGCGUGUAGGCGGCUGGGCAAGUCGGAUGUGAAAGCCCGGGGCUCAACCCCGGAAUUGCAUUCGAAACUGCUCAGCUAGAGUCUCGGAGAGGAGGGCGGAAUUCCCGGUGUAGAGGUGAAAUUCGUAGAUAUCGGGAGGAACACCAGUGGCGAAUG